rnacentral:rRNA from 1 species
GGCGGACGGGUGAGUAACACGUGGGUAACCUGCCCUUAAGUGGGGGAUAACAUUUGGAAACAGAUGCUAAUACCGCAUAGAUCCAAGAACCGCAUGGUUCUCGGCUGAAAGAUGGCGUAAGCUAUCGCUUUUGGAUGGACCCGCGGCGUAUUAGCUAGUUGGUGAGGUAAUGGCUCACCAAGGCGAUGAUACGUAGCCGAACUGAGAGGUUGAUCGGCCACAUUGGGACUGAGACACGGCCCAAACUCCUACGGGAGGCAGCAGUAGGGAAUCUUCCACAAUGGACGCAAGUCUGAUGGAGCAACGCCGCGUGAGUGAAGAAGGCUUUCGGGUCGUAAAACUCUGUUGUUGGAGAAGAAUGGUCGGCAGAGUAACUGUUGUCGGUGUGACGGUAUCCAACCAGAAAGCCACGGCUAACUACGUGCCAGCAGCCGCGGUAAUACGUAGGUGGCAAGCGUUAUCCGGAUUUAUUGGGCGUAAAGCGAGCGCAGGCGGUUUUUUAAGUCUGAUGUGAAAGCCCUCGGCUUAACCGAGGAAGCGCAUCGGAAACUGGGAAACUUGAGUGCAGAAGAGGACAGUGGAACUCCAUGUGUAGCGGUGAAAUGCGUAGAUAUAUGGAAGAACACCAGUGGCGAAGGCGGCUGUCUGGUCUGUAACUGACGCUGAGGCUCGAAAGCAUGGGUAGCGAACAGGAUUAGAUACCCUGGUAGUCCAUGCCGUAAACGAUGAAUGCUAGGUGUUGGAGGGGUUUCCGCC